rnacentral:rRNA from 1 species
GACGAACGCUGGCGGCGUGCUUAACACAUGCAAGUCGAACGGUGAAGCGCCUUCCUUUUUGGUGGGUGUGGAUGAGUGGCGAACGGGUGAGUAACACGUGAGUAACCUGCCCCCUUCUUCUGGAUAACCGCAUGAAAGUGUGGCUAAUACGGGAUAUUCUGGUUCUGUCGCAUGAUGGGUCUGGGAAAGAUAUUGCUUCGGUGGGGGAUGGGCUCGCGGCCUAUCAGCUUGUUGGUGGGGUGAUGGCCUACCAAGGCGGUGACGGGUAGCCGGCCUGAGAGGGUGGACGGUCACACUGGGACUGAGACACGGCCCAGACUCCUACGGGAGGCAGCAGUGGGGAAUAUUGCACAAUGGGCGCAAGCCUGAUGCAGCGACGCCGCGUGAGGGAUGGAGGCCUUCGGGUUGUGAACCUCUUUCGCCAGUGAAGCAGGCCUGCCUCGUUUGUGGGUGGGUUGACGGUAGCUGGAUAAGAAGCGCCGGCUAACUACGUG